rnacentral:tRNA from 1 species
GCGGACGCGCCGACGAUGGAGAGUCGGACCCGGCUGUAAACCGGGUGCUUCGGCUGAGGGGGUUCGAAUCCCUUCGUCCGCAC